rnacentral:rRNA from 1 species
AUAGUUUAAUGGUAUAUUUCUCGGUAUUCUAGGCUCGGCCUUACAAUAUAACAAACAAGUUUGACCUCAAAUCAGGUAGGAUUACCCGCUGAACUUAAGCAUAUCAAUAAAGCGGAGG